GACGAACGCUGGCGGCGUGCCUAAUACAUGCAAGUCGAACGAGAGCGACUGGUGCUUGCACUGGUCAGUCUAGUGGCGAACGGGUGAGUAACACGUGGGUAACCUGCCCAUCAGAGGGGGAUAACAUCCGGAAACGGAUGCUAAAACCGCAUAGGUCUUCGAACCGCAUGGUUUGAAGAGGAAAAGAGGCGCAAGCUUCUGCUGAUGGAUGGACCCGCGGUGCAUUAGCUAGUUGGUGAGGUAACGGCUCACCAAGGCCGUGAUGCAUAGCCGACCUGAGAGGGUGAUCGGCCACAUUGGGACUGAGACACGGCCCAAACUCCUACGGGAGGCAGCAGUAGGGAAUCUUCCGCAAUGGACGCAAGUCUGACGGAGCAACGCCGCGUGAGUGAAGAAGGUUUUCGGAUCGUAAAACUCUGUUGUUAGAGAAGAACAAGUGCUAGAGUAACUGUUAGCGCCUUGACGGUAUCUAACCAGAAAGCCACGGCUAACUACGUG
rnacentral:rRNA from 1 species